AUCAGGACGAACGCUGGCGGCGCGCCUAACACAUGCAAGUCGAACGGAGCUUAAAGAGCUUGCUUUUUAAGCUUAGUGGCGAACGGGUGAGUAACGCGUGAGUAACCUGCCCUAGAGUGGGGGACAACAGUUGGAAACGACUGCUAAUACCGCAUAAGCCCACGGUGCCGCAUGACACUGAGGGAAAAGGAUUUAUUCGCUUUAGGAUGGACUCGCGUCCAAUUAGCUAGUUGGUGAGGUAACGGCCCACCAAGGCGACGAUUGGUAGCCGGACUGAGAGGUUGAACGGCCACAUUGGGACUGAGACACGGCCCAGACUCCUACGGGAGGCAGCAGUGGGGGAUAUUGCACAAUGGGGGAAACCCUGAUGCAGCGACGCCGCGUGGAGGAAGAAGGUUUUCGGAUUGUAAACUCCUGUCGUUAGGGACGAUAAUGACGGUACCUAACAAGAAAGCACCGGCUAACUACGUGCCAGCAGCCGCGGUAAAACGUAGGGUGCAAGCGUUGUCCGGAAUUACUGGGUGUAAAGGGAGCGCAGGCGGGAAGACAAGUUGGGAGUGAAAACCAUGGGCUCAACCCAUGAAUUGCUUUCAAAACUGUUUUUCUUGAGUAGUGCAGAGGUAGAUGGAAUUCCCGGUGUAGCGGUGGAAUGCGUAGAUAUCGGGAGGAACACCAGUGGCGAAGGCGGUCUACUGGGCACCAACUGACGCUGAGGCUCGAAAGCAUGGGUAGCAAACAAAAGUAGAUACCCUGGUAGUCCAUGCCGUAAACGAUGAUUACUAUGGGUGUUGGGGGAUUGACCCCCUCAGUGCCGCAGUUAACACAAUAAGUAAUCCACCUGGGGAGUACGACCGCAAGGUUGAAACUCAAAGGAAUUGACGGGGGCCCGCACAAGCAGUGGAGUAUGUGGUUUAAUUCGAAGCAACGCGAAGAACCUUACCAGGUCUUGACAUCCGAUGCAUAGCACAGAGAUGUGUGAAAUCCUUCGGGACAUCGAGACAGGUGGUGCAUGGUUGUCGUCAGCUCGUGUCGUGAGAUGUUGGGUUAAGUCCCGCAACGAGCGCAACCCUUAUUGCCAGUUACUACGUUAAGAGGACUCUGGCGAGACUGCCGUUGACAAAACGGAGGAAGGUGGGGAGGACGUCAAAUCAUCAUGCCCUUUAUGACCUGGGCUACACACGUACUACAAUGGCGUUAAACAAAGAGAAGCAAGACCGCGAGGUGGAGCAAAACUCAAAAACAACGUCUCAGUUCAGAUUGCAGGCUGCAACUCGCCUGCAUGAAGUCGGAAUUGCUAGUAAUCGCGGAUCAGCAUGCCGCGGUGAAUACGUUCCCGGGCCUUGCACU
rnacentral:rRNA from 1 species